UCCUUGGCCAUUCAGUGGUUAGGACUCAGCACUUUGACUGCUGUGGGCCUGGGUUCAAUCCCCAGUCAGGGAA
rnacentral:tRNA from 1 species